AAUUGGUUCACAGUUGAAGUGAUGAAAAGGGAAUCAGGUGAGAAUCCUGGACAGUCCCGCUGCUGUAACCUCCAUUUUUCUAUUCCGACCACAACAAACCACUGGACACAAUGGACUUUUCAUGAAUGAAAAGAACAUGCCGGGAAGGCGGGCCGGAGAAGGAGGAAGUCAGAAGACCUGCCGUUGCGUUUUU
rnacentral:ncRNA from 1 species